CGGGAGGCAGCAGUAGGGAAUCUUCGGCAAUGGGGGCAACCCUGACCGAGCAACGCCGCGUGAGUGAAGAAGGUUUUCGGAUCGUAAAGCUCUGUUGUAAGUCAAGAACGGGUGUGAGAGUGGAAAGUUCACACUGUGACGGUAGCUUACCAGAAAGGGACGGCUAACUACGUGCCAGCAGCCGCGGUAAUACGUAGGUCCCGAGCGUUGUCCGGAUUUAUUGGGCGUAAAGCGAGCGCAGGCGGUUUGAUAAGUCUGAAGUUAAAGGCUGUGGCUCAACCAUAGUUCGCUUUG
rnacentral:rRNA from 1 species